AUAAGCUCAUGCCCCGGUGGCCGAAUGGGUAAUGCGGCCACCUGGUAGCGCCUUGGCGUGGGGACCCAAGGCGCGUGGGUUCGAAAUCCGCAGGGGACAACAUUACAUCCGGAGCCAACUUCUCAGCUCCUAAAAUAAUGGGAUGUGAACCUGCCAAGUAGGUACCUUCGGGCGGACCUACUACUUGAUUUAGCUGAUUUUUCCUGGGCUGGGAACCUGUAUUGCAUGUACCAAAUCCUGUCUUUCAUUAAUUUUCCUAUGUUCCUGUUAUAUUCUUGGCGUCGUUCAACACUAAGCAUUCCUCCUGUAUAACCAACUCUUGCCUGUAUUUAACAUCACACAAGGACUCGUCAUAAGCACUGCUUGCAUACGAGUAUAACGGAAGAAUAAUAAUAAUAAUAAUAACUAUAAGCUCA
rnacentral:sRNA from 1 species